GGUUUUAUAGGUGAGGAUCGAACACCGCCGCCCUUCCCUUAAUCGAUAGGGAUUAACCUUAUCAACGUGUUGAAAAAGUGGGAUAAAGAUGUUAACGUUUUCGUCUCUGCCGAUAAAGUAAGUAAACAAACAACCUGUUUCCCUAAUUUUAUUUAAAAAAAUAUGUAUUUAUAUAUAUAUAUUGUGAUUGCAUCAUCGAUUGUUCAUAUGCUUGUACAAAACUUGAACAAUCGAUGAUUGAUGACGACGAAUUCUUUAUGGCACACAAGUUGUGUGUGUCAUUGUGUUGGAUUUUCAUUGUGCCAUGUUUUAGGACCGUGUGACCAGAUCCUUGCUUUGAACGAAAGUUUCUGUCAAAACCAGGAAAAGUCGGUCCUUCUUCAAAUUAAUAAAGUCAAAUAAUACUAAAACUCCUGGUUCUAUUAUUUGGACACUUUGCAGGUAUGUUGAAAUUUUGUGCCGUAUUUGAUGUUCCUAGAUGUAGUGAAAUUAUAUCUUGUCUUGAGAAUCGAAAUCGUUGGAACAGAAAGAAUAAGCUGUCGGCAGAAGGCAUAUGGCAUAUCUAUCAAAGCUAAGAUUAAAAUACCUCCAAAAAAAGAAGCUACCCAAGAAUCUAAAACCUCUUAUUGGAUGUAUUGGUACAAGUCUGGAAAUAGGUGGACUCCUGACUGUUGGUAAGUGAGUUCUUCCAAAAAUCAUGAUAUUGAUCAUCACACCUUCGAACUCUGCACAUGCGAGUCUACCUUUUUCAAUGUGGUAGCAAAAAGUGCAGCACCCGCAGAGAAUUUCCCACUUGGUACAAUUGAUCUGAAUGAAAAUAAGUGUUGUUUUAGUGACUAUGAACAAAACUUAUGGUUACUGUCAUAUUAAACUUUACGGUUUGGUGUUCAAACAAGGUAGCAGUUCCUGGUGAAAGGUUUGAUUGGUUGCUUCAGCAUUAUAAAUCCUCAAGAUUCACUAUUUACUGGAUCAGAAGCUCAUACAGCUGGCAGCAACAGAAACCCUGUUCAUACUUAAAGCAAUCUUUUUUAAGGAUUUUAUUUACAAAACAUGCAUGACUGUGAAUGUAAUGAAUAUUUGAUAACCAUACCAUAAAUUUCAGAUAAAUAAUC
rnacentral:lncRNA from 1 species